rnacentral:lncRNA from 10 species
GGUUGCCAAGAGCUUUAAAAAGAGAGAAGGAGUGCAGUGAUGCAUGUGCUUUUUUAAAAAAGACAGCUUGGUUCUUUCUAUGAGUUGUUGAACAGUUGAAAAGCAAAUAAACGUCAGUGGAUCUGAAUCCCAACAUUGUUUAAUGACAACCCUGCCAUAUUUGCCAACUUGCUGCUUAACAACAAUCCUGUUGACACUGUGUAAAAAGCUUUCCAGGUCCUCCCAGGUAAAUAACCCACUCCUACCGGUCACCUGGCCGCCCAGCUGAGCUCUUUCAUGAAUACACACAGAAUUCAUGAAGAUGAGUCAUUCUUCUGCCAAAUGUACCUUGAUGUAUUAUAGCUUUUACUUCUUCAUGCUAUCAUUUCAUACACUAAUCUCACAAAGACGAUUGUAAGAAGAAAGUCAAUUUAAGUAGAAAUCUAUGACUGAAAUGAUAUAAAGAAUAAAAUGUCCCUAUUUGUGAAAAUUGUAAACGCCUAACUUUUCUGAAUCAUUUGGGUUUGCAUUUCUCUAGUAUGUGUAGCAUAUUUGAUAAAUGAAAAAAGAUUUUUUUUUUUGGUAGGAGGAGGGAUUUAUUUCAUUUGCUCCUGAAGUUAAAUCUCAUGAAAUCAUGUGAAAUUCAGUGAUGUGUUACUGGGAACAAAAAGGGUUACGUUAUUAAUUGUGAUGCCUUCCCACAAGAGCUGUGUCUGUACUGUGCCACAUAACCCCUGAAGCUGAAUAAAGAACUUUCUCCUUGAUUCCCCCAGCCCUCCAAAAACAUCAGGUGAUGAGGUCCCAUUGUAAAUGACCCAAGGACAAACAGCUCAUGACUUCAAAGGAGGCCUCUUCAACCCAGGGCAAAUUCAGGCCUUCAUUCCAGGGGUCUGUAAGCAAGUACUGAGUGAAGAGAUAUCCUAAAAUCAAUCGGUAAAUUGCAUGUUUGAAGUAAACUAAAAACCAAAUUUCAGGGUUGAUGCUGGCUUUGGAGGAGAUGGGAAAAUCAUUUGUUUGGAGACAAGAAGCAUGUUAUGCCGGUAGAUGUGUGCACAUAUGCUUCUAUAAGUGGGUACAUGCAUUCCCACUUUUCCUGCCAAGUCUUUAGAAAACCACUUAAGUAAGAAUGGAGAAAUGUAGCAUUGUAGCUUCCCUACAGUUUGUGUUCAUUUUGUUUAUUGCAGUUCCUCUUUGCCAACCCUGGAUAAUGGCAACAACUUCUUUAGUGGCAUGCUGCAUGCUCUGUUUGGUCAUGUCCAGAGAUACCCAAGAUAAAGAAGUUUGAUAAAUAUACACAUUAACUCAGCAAAAAUAACAUGGUUAUUUUCAUGAAUAUUGCACUUGGGCACAUCAGCAAAAUUCAAAAGUGAUAAAAGGUGAGCAUUGUAUAUGAAUUUUGCAUAUGUACAUGGUAAUAUUUUGACACUAGGAACAAUAUUUUAAGUUGAAAUGUCUAUAUUUUAAUUUAGUAAAGAUUUGGCAAGCCCCUGCUAUAUUAGCAAUAUCAAGAUAAUGAGAUAAAGAUCCCACUCUCAAUAAAAAUAUAAAAUUAUACAUGUUUCUUGUGCCCAUCAUCAGCCAUCGUUAUGAACAUCACUCUGAACUGUUAUGCACAAUAAGAUAACUAGAGGGUUAAAAAUGAAGGUUUUACUGCUCACGUUGAAUAUUAUUUUUAGAAAAGAAAGUCAUUUCUAUUAUAGAGGAGGCAUUGUGGUCUACUAUAAUGGCAAGCAUAUUAAAAACAAUGCAUUCCUGGUGAAAUAAUGCUUAGAGCAUAGUCAACAAAAUAAGCAGGCUGCUGAAAAAAGUUUAAAUGUCAUAUUUCAUUAAUUCUAAGACACAUUUCCUCCUGCUUUUAGAUCUCUCAAAUUGAAAGGCAUCUUACAACCUAUAGAUGAAAUCUAGUAAAUAGAAUAAGAUAAAAAGUAUCUUAGUUUCUUUCCUUGGGUUGUUUGCCUUUCUUUUAAGGGAAGGUUUGUUUGACUGUUGUGUUUUGUUUUUAACAGCUUGUUUAUGAAUCUUCCCUUUUCUAGCGUUAAUGAUUGUGUGAGCCUAGAAUUUAAAUGGUACAAAACUCUGAUUUUUGUUUUUAUUCUUUGUUCUGACCAUUACUGAGGGGAGUACAGGACACUGAAGCAGAAACAAGGUCUGAAAGUGGCAAUGUGGACCUUGCUCCUCUGUGGAGGACUCUGGUACCUGUCUGUGUCUGAAUCUUGCCACUUCCACUUAUCUAGCUUUGCGAUCUGGAAAAGAUUAACUUUAGCCUCUCUGUGCCUCAGUUUCUUCAAGUGCUGAAUAAUGGUAUCUACCUCAUAGUGCUGCUAUGAGGGUUGAGUUUAAUAUAAGUAAGGCCUUAGAAUAAUGCCUGGCACAUACUAAAUAUUCUCUCAACUUUAGCUGUUACCAUUGUGCCUCACUUCC